ACCUGGCUGGCUCAGUUGGUGGAGCAUGUGACUCUUGAUCUCAGGGUUGUGAGUUUGAGCCCCACGUUCGGUG
rnacentral:tRNA from 1 species